UCCCAUUUUCUUUUCCCUGUUCUUCCAAUUUUUCUUUGCACCCAAAUUUCUUCUACUGAUUUCCAAGACCAACUUGAGAAGAGAGUUCUUUGGUUUAAGCAGUUCACUGUCUAAUUUUUUGGAGAAGAAAUUGGCUUCACCAAGGGGUUUUCCCUAAAUUUUUCAUUUGCUGUUUUCUUCGGUUUAUUGUACUGGACGUGAUUGUUGCUCCAUGUUUAAGACGAAAUAUUCUUUUAUCGGAGAGUUCACUUGAGAUUGUUGCCAGUAAGAAUUAGAAAGCUCUACUUUAGGAACAUCGGGCCUAAGUGGCAUCCCACCACCUCGGUGGCAACCCGGAAGAUCGUUGCAGCAACGAUGGCUGGUAACCAGAACUACCCUGAUGGUGGCUACGGCCAUGUGAAUAGUAGAGUGAAUUUUAAUUGCAGCUCUGAAUAUUUUUUAUGAGUACGAAGAGAAGUUGCAGCAGUAAGCCGGGCAGAGCUUACGGAAGCCUUUUAGCGCUAUGAAAGUUAGUAUUUUGUUAAGCUUAUGAUUAUGUAUAUCACGGGGUAUCUGGGUAGUUUAGUAUCGGUAUUUGACUUAUGUUUUACUUAAUUUUGCUAUGUAAAUACAUAAGCUACAGUUUGGUAUGUAAGCUCUGGUUUUGGGUGUUUUAUUAGACUUCAUUUGGAACAUUUUUAUCGUCAAAUCUAGAUACAGGCAGUUUUAAUGUAUAUAUAACUUUCUGCUGGGAAAUUCUUGUCGUCUAAUAUAUUUGUAUCAACUAGUUUCUCUCGA